CCGAGUUUACAACUCCCAAACCCCUGUGAACAUACCUAUACGUUGCCUCGGCGGAUCAGCCCGCGCCCCGUAAAAAGGGACGGCCCGCCCGAGGACCCCUAAACUCUGUUUUUAGUGGAACUUCUGAGUAAAACAAGCAAAUAAAUCA
rnacentral:misc_RNA from 1 species